rnacentral:lncRNA from 1 species
GGCCAGCCGCCCCGCCCCCCGGCCGCCAUUUCGUGCUAGGGCUCCUCACCCGGCGCGCGGUCUCCGCGUGAUGGAUGCCCGGAAGCCGGGACAACAAAGGCCGGCGCUUGGAGCUGCGGGCCCUUCCGCUGCCCGCGGGGCGAAGAUGGCGCCUGGAGACCGAAGCAGCACCGAAGUAUGGGGUGAGGCGUGCGGGCGCCUCCACCAACUUCGAUGGGCCGGCGGGCCUUCCCCUGGAGGUUCACGGUCUCGGGUGUGCAGGACCCGGGGGUGUACACUCUUCUGUGUAUGCACAACCCCGGAGCAUGCACCCACCACACUAUGCCUAAACUCAUGUUUGCACUACCCGACACUUUGCACAGACGUCCCUGAGAAGUAGACUUGCUUUUUCUGCCCACGAGUGUGCACGGAUCCUCGGCUUUCCACGUAUUCGUGUGUGCACGACCUCGAGGACGUGCUCGGACCCAAGUUUGCCCAGACUCAACGUUUGCAACAAUGCAGAAUGUGCUCAAACGCGUGCGUUCAGGAACCUGGGGUGUGCAAGAUUGCAUGUGUGCCUCGUCCAGGGAUGUGCACUGACUUGCCAGGGCAAGCCGCCUCCGGUGGCCUGGGGCACCCGCGAAAACUAUCUGGCCUCUCUUGGAUUCACUUUUGCCGUGGAUUCAAGUUUGCACGGGGCUCUUUGACAUGACUCGGAGCCCGCGGCCUGGUUGGGGAAACAGAUUCAUGGAGAUGUACCUGAUGGAGGCAGCUUGGCUCCAGGUCAGGAAAGCUUCCUGAAGGAAGCCCUGAUCCAAGGUCUACCCAGGCAGUCAGGGCUUGGCUGGGAGGAGUGGAGGGGGUGGAGGUCAAGGCCCAGGUGGGUGCUCGGGCUUGUGGACUUUGUUCUAGGAGAUGCUACCAAGUUCACAUUCGAGAGAGGGCAGGAGAUGGAGAGGGUCAGGUGGGGCAGGGACAGUUUGGGAGCUUUUGGGGACAGGAGGUGUCGUGGAACAACUGGGAGGUUGUUGGGAGGACCUGGUGGGGAGGAAAAGGACUGUGCAUCCAUCAUCCACGGGUCCCUCAGGACCAGGGCCGCUUGGUGUCCCCUGGCUGUUUCCAUCUCCCACAGGACUGUGGCUGUUGAUGGCCUUUGCUGUGUCCGGCACCCUCCUUGGCCCUGGAGAGGGACAUACACCAGCCCCAGUGCUGCCUGUUACCAGCUGGGUGCCUGAGCAAGUUGCUGGGAACAGCUCUGUAGCACCUCCAGGGUGCUGUCAUCAGGCCUGUUUGACUGUGUCUCGUGAUGGCGAACGGGCCACUUCACAGGGAGAGAGGUCCCACAGGAAUCUGAAGAAAGGAAACGGAGAUAUGGGCACUCAACAGCAUGAGGCAUAAUCCAUACACAGAUAAAAUGGUCAUGUCUUAGCAUGA